rnacentral:lncRNA from 14 species
GGCCCGCGCGGCCGCCUCUACCGCGAGCCGUCUCACUGCGGAGGCGGUGGCCUCCGCCGGGGCUUGCCAGGGGCCGCGGGCCGAUAUCGGCUUCUCUGGCCCCGCUGGGCUUCUGUGACUUCUGUGGGCAUGUAUACCCCCUUGUGCCCCGGCCCGCGUGUGUGCGGCUGGGUGUGGGGUCACGGUGGGCCCUUCCCAGAUCUCAGUCCCAGCCUUGAAGCCGGGGCACAAGCACUAGCUGUGUCUGAAGGAAGCCUGGUAGGGCACCUCACUGCCUCGCGGCUCUAGGCCACACGUGUAGUGCAUGGGCAGGCAGAAAGGGUAAGUUUGUGUGAUGUGUGGGGAAAGGGAAAAGAAACGUGCUGUAAAAAAAGACUGUCACCUGGGUGUCUUGUGUGGAGGGUAUAGUCAUUGAAUCAUGAACUCACCGAAUGGUUUGAAUUGGAAGGGACCUUAAAGACCAUCUAGCUCCAACUGCUUGCUAUGGGCAGGGACCUGCCUGUGCUGGAAGGAGAAAGGAGGGGUGCAGGUACAUAAAUAACAUCUGACUUGGUCCAAUUUGGGGUUAGAGUAACACAUGAAACAACUUCACUUAGGGACGAAAGAGUAUGUGGAAGGCAAUGGAGAGGUGUAUUUAACAGUCCAGUACUUACUUCACGGGCCAGGGGAAAAGGCAGCUGAAUAGUGCAAAAUUUGGCCUCUUGAAGGGACUGAAAGUGUACCCAAAGUAGACAGUGCUGCUCUGACUGCAAGUGGGUUUAAACUCAUCCCUCCGUCCUCCCUCCACGAGCCAUCCCCAAUACAGGAUGAACCAGUAUGUCACAACAACAAGGUGGAUACAGCUUAUUACCCGAUUCUUCAGCCAUGGACACUGAGUUUGCGGGCAGAGAACAACAGAGGAAAACAAUUUCACUGCUGCACAGAGCCUUUUACACUGUCACCAUCAAAUUGGAGGAUUCUACCAAUGGUUAACUCAUGGUGUCAGCUGAAUGCUUUAGUCACGCAGGGGAGAAGGAUUCUCCCUUAUGGAUAGGAUUUUGUGCUUCUGAGUAGCUUCAAGGAGAUCAGUCCCAGAAGUCCUCUACAGCAGAAGCUGAAGGAGCAUCUUUCAACACAAACCAAACCCCAGGAGGAUCGAAUAUUUAAAGCUCUCUUGCCAGGAGCUUUCUAAGAAAGGCAAAUCAUUUACCUCUGGCCUCAGAUCAGAACAAGCAGAAGAUUUUGAGUGAUGUUCAGCUGAGUUUCAUAUCUGGGAAAACCUACAGCUGAAAGUAAAGAAGAACUGAUACUUUUCUUUGAUGAUUCUAUGGUGAUUAAGUUCAUGAGAACCUUGAGCUUAAAGCAUUGACCUUCCUCAACUCACAUGGGAAGCAGUACAUCCCAGUAGUCAGGCUCUUUGAUAUAAAAAUGCCAACAAG